AUUGAACGCUGGCGGCAUGCUUUACACAUGCAAGUCGAACGGUAACAGGCCGCAAGGUGCUGACGAGUGGCGAACGGGUGAGUAAUGCGUCGGAACGUGCCCAGUCGUGGGGGAUAACUACUCGAAAGAGUAGCUAAUACCGCGUACGAUCUAUGGAUGAAAGCGGGGGACCGUAAGGCCUCGCGCGAUUGGAGCGGCCGAUGUCAGAUUAGGUAGUUGGUGGGGUAAAGGCUCACCAAGCCAACGAUCUGUAGCUGGUCUGAGAGGACAACCAGCCACACUGGGACUGAGACACGGCCCAGACUCCUACGGGAGGCAGCAGUGGGGAAUUUUGGACAAUGGGCGCAAGCCUGAUCCAGCAAUGCCGCGUGCAGGAAGAAGGCCUUCGGGUUGUAAACUGCUUUUGUACGGAACGAAACGGCUCUGGUUAAUACCCGGGGCUAAUGACGGUACCGUAAGAAUAAGCACCGGCUAACUACGUG
rnacentral:rRNA from 1 species